rnacentral:rRNA from 1 species
CCUACGGGAGGCUGCAGUGGGGAAUAUUGCACAAUGGGGGAAACCCUGAUGCAGCGACGCCGCGUGAGUGAAGAAGUAUUUCGGUAUGUAAAGCUCUAUCAGCAGGGAAGAAGAAAGAUGGUACCUGACUAAGAAGCCCCGGCUAACUACGUGCCAGCAGCCGCGGUAAUACGUAGGGGGCAAGCGUUAUCCGGAUUUACUGGGUGUAAGGGGAGCGUAGACGGCUGUGCAAGUCUGAAGUGAAAGCCCAGGGCUCAACCCUGGGACUGCUUUGGAAACUGUGGAGCUGGAGUGCUGGAGAGGUAAGUGGAAUUCCUAGUGUAGCGGUGAAAUGCGUAGAUAUUAGGAGGAACACCAGUGGCGAAGGCGGCUUACUGGACAGUAACUGACGUUGAGGCUCGAAAGCGUGGGGAGCAAACAGGAUUAGAUACCCUAGUAGUC